GAUGAACGCUAGCGGCAGGCUUAAUACGUGCAAGUCGAGGGGCAGCACGGUUAGCAAUAACUGGUGGCGACCGGCGCACGGGUGCGUAACACGUAUACAAUCUACCUUAAACAGGGGGAUAGCCUUUCGAAAGAGAGAUUAAUACCCCGUAAUAAAUUGAACGGCAUCGUUUGAUUUUGAAAGCUCCGGCGGUUUGAGAUGAGUAUGCGUCUGAUUAGCUAGUUGGUGAGGUAACGGCUCACCAAGGCGACGAUCAGUAGGGGAUCUGAGAGGACUAACCCCCACACUGGUACUGAGACACGGACCAGACUCCUACGGGAGGCAGCAGUAAGGAAUAUUGGUCAAUGGAGGCAACUCUGAACCAGCCAUGCCGCGUGCAGGAUGACGGCCCUAUGGGUUGUAAACUGCUUUUAUACAAGAGAAAACCCUGGUACGUGUACCAGGUUGAUAGUAUUGUAAGAAUAAGCAUCGGCUAACUUCGUGCCAGCAGCCGCGGUAAU
rnacentral:rRNA from 1 species